rnacentral:rRNA from 1 species
AUUGAACGCUGGCGGCAUGCCUUACACAUGCAAGUCGAACGGCAGCGCGGACUUCGGUCUGGCGGCGAGUGGCGAACGGGUGAGUAAUACAUCGGAACGUACCCUGUUGUGGGGGAUGACUAGUCGAAAGAUUAGCUAAUACCGCAUACGACCUGAGGGUGAAAGUGGGGGACCGCAAGGCCUCACGCAGCAGGAGCGGCCGAUGUCUGAUUAGCUAGUUGGUGGGGUAAAGGCCCACCAAGGCGACGAUCAGUAGCUGGUCUGAGAGGACGAUCAGCCACACUGGGACUGAGACACGGCCCAGACUCAUACGGGAGGCAGCAGUGGGGAAUUUUGGACAAUGGGGGCAACCCUGAUCCAGCAAUGCCGCGUGUGUGAAGAAGGCCUUCGGGUUGUAAAGCACUUUUGUCCGGAAAGAAAUCGCGCUGGUUAAUACCUGGCGUGGAUGACGGUACCGGAAGAAUAAGCACCGGCUAACUACGUGCCAGCCGCCGCCGUAA